AAAAAAUUCUUCUUUUCACAGCAAAAACUACCGGCUGCGCCGGCGGUCUCGUGGCGAAACCACCAGCCGUCGUUGGUUCCCACUCCCCCGAGCACCUCAUCACUGCGCUCCGCCUCUCGCGCUCCAUGGCUUCCAUGGCUUCGAUGGCGGCGGCAACGUCUGCAACUCACCUCCUCUCCUCCCCAGCCGUCGCAUCUCCACUGCACGUACCUUGCCGUCACCGUCGCACAGAGGCAGCAAGGAGCCUCUCCUGCCGCGCGUCGCUUGGCCCCGACGGCCUCCUGUCCGCACUCGCCGCCCCAAGACCGGCACCCGCCCGAGCGAGGACGUACCUGCGGAAGCAGUCCUGCCUCCUCUUCCCACCCCCGCGCGGCCGCCGCCCGCUCGCCGUCGUCAAGUUCCUCGGCGGCGCCUUCAUCGGCGCCGUCCCCGAGGCCACCUACGGCUACCUGCUGGAGCUCCUGGCGCAGGAGGGCUUCCUCGUGGUGUCCGUGCCAUACAACGUCACCUUCGACCACGCGGCGGCCGCGCGGGAGGUCUUCGAUAGGUUUCACGGCUGCUACGACGCGCUUCUCGCGUCGGGGCUGCCGGAGGCCGGGCUAAGCGCGCUGGACAUCGCGGAGCUUCCACUCUACUCGGUCGGGCACAGCAAUGGUGCAUUGCUUCAGCUGUUGGUGGGAAGCUACUUCUCGGAGAAGAUACCAAAGGCUAAUGCCAUUGUCUCAUUCAACAAUAGACCCGCUUCGGAAGCUGUUCCUUACUUUGAGCAGAUAGGCCCACUCUUUAGUCAACUAAUGCCUAUGAUGGAGGUGUCACCUGUAUAUUCUGUGGCAAGAGAUGCAUCAGGAGAUGCAUGGAAGGCCUUAUUUGAUUUAGCUGGAGGUCUGAUACGGGAGUACGACCAAGAAGCUAUGGUAUCCAUGACCAAAUUUGUUGAUCAGUUACCAUCGGUGAUGAAUCAGGUUACAGAAGGUGUGUCUGAAUUCAAACCAACACCACCUGAGAACCGUGAAUUCUGCAAGAACUCCUACAGUGUACCAAAUACAUUAUUGGUGAAAUUUAGCAUUGAUGGUAUUGACGAUACAGAUAUAAUCGAGGACAUCUUGAGACCCCGGGUAGACUCAAUUGGUGGACAAAUAAAAAAGGUCAUACUGUCGGGAACACAUCUAACUCCAUGUAUACAGGAUGUGAAAUGGCAGGUCGGUUCAGAAUACACUCCAGCGGAUGCUCUUGCCCAGGGUUUAAAAUCAUUAGCCCUCAAUGAGACUAGAGUCCUCUCAAGAACUAUCUCUGAUUGGUUGAGAUCCCUUUAGAACUCUAAUUACUAUCUGUCUAUUGAAGUUCAGAAUGCUGCUUCCGAAGCUCUGUGGUGUAAAAACUGGGGACCAUUGCUUGCUUACUCAUGCAGUUACUACAUUGGACAUCAUUUUACACACAUCGGAGAUAGAGCUGCAGAAAUAUCUGUAGAAACUGAUGCAAUUGACUGUGCUGUGGGGGUCGCCAUUGCAAGGAGACAUUGGAAUAAGUACCUAUAGCACCUAAGGGUGAUGCAUUUGGACCGAGUUGGGUUGGUCAUGCAUGCUCACCGACAUGCCCAACUACUAUCUGAUCAAGAUUGGGGAGUUGGCCAAAGUGUUUGGACUCUAGUCAGGCUAUACCAUGCAUUUAACCAAAAAUCUAACAGAACAAUUGAUCCAAUCUCAAGUAUGGCACCACCGGGGCUGAGUUGGCGGUAUGUACCUUGCAGCAGGCAGACAACCCUGUCAAUGCACGGCCUUCAGCUGGCUGGCAUUGUACGUGUGUAAUACAACGAUAUACGGCAUAUGCAGAUUGUCAUGUUAUAAUUUCUGUAUAGCUCAAACACUUGGUACAGUUUUGUAUACUUCGUUGAAUGUCAAGGAUGCUUGUAAGUUGUAAUGCGCAAUUCUGCAGUAAGCCUAGCUGGCCCAAAUUUAGCGGCACUGAUGAAAAUUUGUAUGAA